GAUGAAGAACGUAGCGAAAUGCGAUACUUGGUGUGAAUUGCAGAAUCCCGUGAACCAUCGAGUCUUUGAACGCAAGUUGCGCCCGAAGCCACUAGGCCGAGGGCACGCCUGCCUGGGCGUCACACGCCGUUGCCCCCCCAUCUACUCCUUCGGGAUUGCGGGGGGGCGGAUGAUGGCCUCCCGUGCGCCUAGCCGCGCGGUUGGCAUAAAUACCAAGUCCUCGGCGACGCACGCCACGACAAUCGGUGGUUGCGAAACCUCGGUUGCCCGUCGUGUGCGUUCGUCGCGCAUCGAGAGCUCAAAAAAAUGCUCGGCUCCGGCUGGGCUUUCAACGCGACCCCAGGUCAGGCGGGGUUACCCGCUGAAUUUAAGCAUAUCAAUAAGCGGAGGA
rnacentral:misc_RNA from 1 species